UACGAAGGGGGCUAGCGUUGCUCGGAAUCACUGGGCGUAAAGCGCACGUAGGCGGCUUCUCAAGUCAGGGGUGAAAUCCUGGAGCUCAACUCCAGAACUGCCUUUGAUACUGAGGGGCUCGAGUCCGGGAGAGGUGAGUGGAACUGCGAGUGUAGAGGUGAAAUGCGUAGAUAUGUGGAGGAAUACCGAUGGCGAAGGCAGCCUCCUGGGCCAACACUGACGCUCAUGCACGAAAGCGUGGGGAGCAAACAGG
rnacentral:rRNA from 1 species